rnacentral:tRNA from 1 species
GGCCUUGUAGCUCAGUGGAAGAGCGCUCGUUUCCGAUGCGAGAAGUCCCAGGUUCGAACCCUGGUUAGGUCG